AUGGAAAAAGCUGAGAUACUCAAUGCCUUCUUCAACUUAGUCUUUACUGCUAACAUUUGCCUUCAGGAAUCCCAGGCCCCUGAGACCAGUGGGAAAGCCUGGAGAAAGGAAGACUUACCCUUGGUAGAAGAGGAUCAACUUAGGGAACAUUUAAACAAACUGGUCACAUACAAGUCCAUGGGACCUGAUGGGAUGUACCCACGAGUGCUGAGGGAGGUGGCAGAUGUCAUUGCAAGGCCACUCUUGAUUUCCUUUGAUAGGUCAUGGCAAUUGGGGGAGGUUCCUGAGGACUGGAAGAAAGCAAAUGUCAGUCCUAUUUUCAAGGGAAAGGAGGAGGAUCUAGGAAACUACAAACCAGUCAGCCUCACCUCGAUCACUGGGAAGGUGAUGGAGCAAAUCCUCCUGGAAGCCAUUUCCAAACAUAUUAAGGACAAGGUGGUGAUUGGGAGUAGUCAGCAUGGAUUUAUAAAAGGGAAAUCAUAUUUGACCAACCUGAUAGCCUUCUAUGAUGAGAUGACUGGCUCAGGGGACAAGGGGAGAGCAGUGGAUGUUGUUUAUCUUGACUUUAGCAAGACUUCCGACACUGUCUCCCAUAACAUCCUCAUAGAUAAACUGAUGAAGUACGGGGUAGAUAAGUGGUCAGUGAGGUGCACUGAACAAUGGCUGAACUGCUGGGCUCCAAGGGUUGUGAUCAGCGGCACAAAGUCUAGCUGGAGGCCAGUCACUAGUGGUGUCCCCCAGUGGUUGAUACUGGGGCCAAUUUUGUUUAAUAUUUUAUUAAUGACAUGGAUGAUGGGACAGAGUGCACCCCCAGCAAGUUUGCAGAUGAUACAUAAUUGGGAGGAGUGGUUGAUAGACCAGAUGAUUGUGCAUCCGUUCAGAGGGACCUCGACAGGCUGGAGAAAUGGGCAGACAGGGGUCUCAUGGAGUUCAACAAAGGGAAAUGCCAAGUCCUGUACCUGGGGACUUCCAGCGAAGGGCCACAAAAAUGAUGAAGGCAUUGGAGCACCUGGCAUACAAGGAGAGGCUGAGAGAGCUGGGACUGUUCAGACUGGAGAGGAGGCUCAGGGGGUUUUUAAUCAAUGA
rnacentral:lncRNA from 1 species